GUAUUGGACUACCAUGGCUUUCACGGGUAACGGAGGAUUAGGGUUCGAUUCCGGAGAGGGAGCCUGAGAAACGGCUACCACAUCUAAGGAAGGCAGCAGGCGCGUAAAUUACCCAAUACUGACUCAGUGAGGUAGUGACAAGAAAUACCAGUCCGGAGCUUUUCCACCGGGAUAGCAUCGAGUUCAAUUUACAACCCUUAACGAGGAUCAAUUGGAGGGCAAGUCUGGUGCCAGCAGCCGCGGUAAUUCCAGCUCCAAUACCGUAUAUUAAAGUUGUUGCAGUUAAAAAGCUCGUAGUUGGAUUUCUGAAUGGAUACCGAUGCCCGCCUGCUGGSGUGUGCAAAGGUCCCCGUUCAUCCUUCUGUUAAGGUUUCUUAGUAUUCAUUUAYUGGUUUCCGGCUCAGAUAUUUUACCUUGAAUAAAUUAGAGYGUUUCAGGCAACCUUGGUCUUGAAUACAUUAGCAUGGAAUAAUAGAAUAGGACUCWAGAUCCUUUGUUGGUUUCUGGAUUUGGAGUAAUGAUYAMUARGGAUAGUWGGGGGCAUUAGUAWUUAAUUGKCGMGASGUGANAAUUCKUGGAUUUAKUAAAGACUAACUUAUGCGAAAWAGCAUUURCCARAGGGA
rnacentral:rRNA from 1 species